rnacentral:rRNA from 1 species
UACGAAGGGGGCUAGCGUUGCUCGGAAUCACUGGGCGUAAAGGGUGCGUAGGCGGGUCUUUAAGUCAGGGGUGAAAUCCUGGAGCUCAACUCCAGAACUGCCUUUGAUACUGGAUGUCUUGAGUGUGAGAGAGGUAUGUGGAACUCCGAGUGUAGAGGUGAAAUUCGUAGAUAUUCGGAAGAACACCAGUGGCGAAGGCGACAUACUGGCUCAUUACUGACGCUGAGGCUCGAAAGCGUGGGGAGCAAACAGG